rnacentral:rRNA from 1 species
CGUAGGGCGGAGCGUUGUCCGGAUUUACUGGGCGUAAAGGGUACGCAGGCGGCCUUGUAAGUCAGAUGUGAAAGAUCACAGCUUAACUGUGGUAAGCAUUUGAAACUAUAAGGCUUGAGUUAAGGAGAGGAGAGCGGAAUUCCUAGUGUAGCGGUGAAAUGCGUAGAUAUUAGGAAGAACACCAGUGGCGAAGGCGGCUCUCUGGCCUUAUACAGACGCUGAGGUACGAAAGCGUGGGGAGCAAACAGGAUU